AACGCACAUUGCGCCCCUUGGUAUUCCGAGGGGCAUGCCUGUUCGAGCGUCAUUAUAACCACUCAAGCUUGGCUUGGUAUUGGGGUUCGCGGUUUCGCGGCUCUUAAAUUCAGUGGCGGUGCCAUCUGGCUCUCAGCGUAGUAAUUUCUCUCGCUAUUGGGUCCGGUGGUUGCUUGCCAAAACCCCCCCAUUUCUUACGGUUGACCUCGGAUCAGGUAGGGAUACCCGCUGAACUUAA
rnacentral:misc_RNA from 1 species